rnacentral:lncRNA from 1 species
CUCAAACAUCUUAUAUUAGAGGGCGCCCAUCCACCAGCUAUGUCUAUCUCAAGAUCCAUCCUAUCACAAUUGAUGAGUCAUCCUCUAGAAGGAUAUGGUUGACUCAUAGAAUAAGCUUCGCAUACCUGAUUCUUUCUCAUGCCCCUCUAAAUUGCACUUCCAAAAUAGAGAUAUCAUAUAACUAAUUGCCACUCGUGCCUAUAAAUUUAGAAUUUAGUCCAC